GAUGAACGCUGGCGGCGUGCCUAAUACAUGCAAGUCGAGCGAACAGACGAGGAGCUUGCUCCUCUGAUGUUAGCGGCGGACGGGUGAGUAACACGUGGAUAACCUACCUAUAAGACUGGGAUAACUUCGGGAAACCGGAGCUAAUACCGGAUAACAUGUUGAACCGCAUGGUUCAACAGUGAAAGACGGUCUUGCUGUCACUUAUAGAUGGAACCGCGCCGCAUUAGCUAGUUGGUAAGGUAACGGCUUACCAAGGCAACGAUGCGUAGCCGACCUGAGAGGGUGAUCGGCCACACUGGAACUGAGACACGGUCCAGACUCCUACGGGAGGCAGCAGUAGGGAAUCUUCCGCAAUGGGCGAAAGCCUGACGGAGCAACGCCGCGUGAGUGAAGAAGGUCUUCGGAUCGUAAAACUCUGUUAUUAGGGAAGAACAAAUGUGUAAGUAACUAUGCACGUCUUGACGGUACCUAAUCAGAAAGCCACGGCUAACUACGUG
rnacentral:rRNA from 1 species